rnacentral:lncRNA from 1 species
GAAGAUGAAGAUGAAAGAUAGGCACCAUGCACUUAAUCAAAAGGGAGAAGAGAAAGUGAGAUAGUCGUCUAAGCGACAAGGAUCUAUCCCAAUACUUGCCUUCCAACUUUCAAGUUCGAUCUUGUAGCUUUAAUCAGAUGAGAGGAGUUAAUUGUUGUAUGAGUUCGAGUUGCUUUUUCUGACAAGCUUCACUUAUUGUUGCCCCGAGAGCUAUGUCCAACCAUUCUGUUAUUUUAUAGACUAAGCCAUCAUUUGUC